rnacentral:rRNA from 1 species
GACGGGGACCCGCACAAGCGGUGGAUGAUGUGGAUUAAUUCGAUGCAACGCGAAAAACCUUACCUGCCCUUGACAUGCCAGGAACCCUGCUGAGAGGUGGGGGUGCUCGAAAGAGAACCUGGGCACAGGUGCUGCAUGGCUGUCGUCAGCUCGUGUCGUGAGAUGUUGGGUUAAGUCCCGCAACGAGCGCAACCCUUGUCAUUAGUUGCCAUCAUUUAGUUGGGCACUCUAAUGAGGCUGCCGGUGACAAACCGGAGGAAGGUGGGGAUGACGUCAAGUCCUCAUGGCCCUUAUGGGUAGGGCUUCACACGUCAUACAAUGGUCGGUACAGAGGGUUGCCAAGCCGCGAGGUGGAGCCAAUCCCAGAAAGCCGAUCGUAGUCCGGAUCGGAGUCUGCAACUCGACUCCGUGAAGUCGGAAUCGCUAGUAAUCGUGGAUCAGCAUGCCACGGUGAAUACGUUCCCGGGUCUU